rnacentral:rRNA from 1 species
AUACGUAGGUGACAAGCGUUAUCCGGAUUUACUGGGCGUAAAGGGCGUGUAGGCGGUCUUGCAAGUCAGAAGUGAAAUUCCUGAGCUCAACUCGGGCGCUGCUUCUGAAACUGCAGGACUUGAGUGCUGGAGGGGAUAGCGGAAUUCCUAGUGGAGCGGUAAAAUGCGCAGAUAUCAGGAGGAACACCGGUGGCGAAGGCGGCUUACUGGGCUUUUACUGACGCUGAGGCUCGAAAGCGUGGGGAGCAAACAGGAUUAGAUACCCUGGUAGUCCACGCUGUAAACGAUGAUUACUAGGUGUGGGGGGACUGACCCCUUCCGUGCCGCAGUUAACACAAUAAGUAAUCCACCUGGGGAGUACGGCCGCAAGGUUGAAACUCAAAUGAAUUGGCGGGG